rnacentral:lncRNA from 1 species
AAUUAAAUCAAAUUUGAAUUAAAUUUUAAACCAAACUUUAUCCUCAUCUUAUAAACAUAGAGAGGGGUCGACCAACAUCAGAAUAGAGAAUAAAAUCUCACACCAAAAUACUUUAUGCAUGGAGAAAGGUGGUGGCAUGAAGAGGAGAGUCCAACUCAAUUUAGACUCUAAGUUUUCAUUCAAAUUCAAACCCAUUUGAACUCAAAUUUAAACCAAUCAAUUU